rnacentral:rRNA from 1 species
UAAGGAAUAUUGGUCAAUGGACGCAAGUCUGAACCAGCCAUGCCGCGUGAAGGAUGAAGGUCCUCUGGAUUGUGAACUUCUUUUAUCUGGGACGAAAACGGGAUUUUUAUCUCAAUUGACGGUACCAGAGGAAUAAGCACCGGCUAACUCCGUGCCAGCAGCCGCGGUAAUACGGAGGGUGCGAGCGUUAUCCGGAUUUACUGGGUUUAAAGGGUGCGUAGGUGGGCUUAUAAGUCAGUGGUGAAAUCUCCGAGCUUAACUUGGAAACUGCCGUUGAUACUAUAGGUCUUGAAUUAUCUGGAGGUAAGCGGAAUAUGUCAUGUAGCGGUGAAAUGCUUAGAUAUGACAUAGAACACCAAUUGCGAAGGCAGCUUACUACACAAUCAUUGACGCUGAGGCACGAAAGCGUGGGGAUCAAACA